GUUGGUGAGAACUUUCUGAGACUCUUCUAAAAUCUUUUCUAUUGUCCUUUAGUUUCAGAACUACUGGGAUCUAAAUUUUGGUCCCAGAGGCUGGGAACCAGUGCGAGAGAUUGAAUUUUCUGUAAUGCUUAUGGUCUAUUGAGCAAAUGAAUAGCAUCUGAAAAUGGCAAGACUCUAUAAAAUUAAGAAAAUGAAUUGUUUUCAAGCAGUUUUAGAGGAACCAUUUACAUACGGACAAGAUAAUUAUGAUAUAACAAAAGCUUGUGUUAUUUAAGGUGGGGCUUUGGUAGUCUAAUUUAGUGGGUGUCUGUAGUAGAUCAUCAUCAUAACAGCUCCCAGUGAAUCAAUGCCUCCCUGCAUCCACACCCCUUUGUAACAUGAUAUUGUUGCUCUUCCCAUCAAGAAAUGGUCUCUUUUGGCCGGGCACAGUAGCUCACGUCAUCCCAGCACUUUGGGAGGCUGAGGCAGGCAGAUGGCUUGAGUGUAACAAUAUGUUGAAUUUGCCAUGGGCCUUUAAAGCUUCAAUGUUGUGAAGAGCUCUGCAUGAAAUUUUAAAGAGACUGGACCUUUCAUCUGCACAACAGCAGGGCACCUCGCUAUAGGGACAAGAAAGGAAGAGAGAGAGAGAACAUUUCUGAAGUAAUAGUGAAAAAUAACAGCAGAAGCAAUUAUUUCAUCAAAGAUUGCAGGGAGAGGCUCCUCCGUGCUCCUGAGAGGCCGAACACAGGGUCGCCAGCACAGCUUACUGCUCGGUGUCUCCUGAGCCACAGAGGAAGACGUGGCAGGAGCACCUGGUGCUAAUAUAUAUUCAUGUCUAUGGCAAUGCCGACCAUCUGGCUGGUCUGAACCAGGAUAAAAGUGAAGAAUUCCUCUGUGAAGACCCAGCUCUUUCUUUGGCUCCUUUUUUGAAGCCAUCUUUGCUCUGCUCUCCUCUGCUGCCCAGAAAGUUCCAGAGUGAAGCUCAGCUCUAGAUGAACAAAAACUGGUUGAGUCCAGAGAUGCCUGAGUUGGAGAUGAACCUUGCAAACUUUCCUCAUUACCAUACUAAAAACCCCACCCAGGAAGGAGCUUAUCUGCCAUUUCCUACACAUGUGACAUAUGGAGAAGCAUGAUCAGCUACUUCACAGUCUCUGCCUUUACUCUGCCUCCGCAUACAAUGGCUCAGCCAACUAGCCUAACGAAAGCUGUUUUCACCAUUGUUUGGGAGGUACUGCUUUGGGAAACUGCCCCAGCUGUCCUCCUUACUUGUUGUAGGUAAUAAAAUCCCUUUGUUAAAUCUUCC
rnacentral:lncRNA from 1 species